AACUUUGUUACCUGCAAGGGACGUGGAAAUUUGAUGACUGGUUUAGUUUUUAUUCGUGCAAUUUGACAAGUCUUGAUAACAUUUUCUCUUGCCUUAGUAUUAUUAAUCUCUUUAACGAGUGAAAGUGAAGAUAGAAAAAAUUAUAUUGGCAGCAUUGCAUUUCCUACAAUCGAAUGAGCAAUUUUGGCAAUUGUGUGCAAUUUUUUUAAGUGAGCAUAAUUAUUAUUAUGUUUUUGUAUUCAUUUACAGUAUAUACAGUACAUGUUCAUACAGGGGCUGUAUAACAGGAGAUAAAGAUACAGUUUCUCAUCCAGAGUAAGAAAGAGAAAAAUAUGCUGACUUUAUUGAUACCAUUUUCCAGUGCAGUAUGUAUUACACACUCUGAAUUGGCAAUUAAAAUGAAAUCACUAAUUAAGGAUACAAAUUGGCAACGUUUUGUUUAACUGUUGCUGUUAUCAUUCAUAUAUUUAAUUCUUUAAGAGGAUGAAAUUAAUGGAAAAUAUUAAUGAUUGCUGCCAAUUUGAUGAUCAAAAGAGAUUUAUCUUGACUUUAUGAAAGCUUCAAAAGCCUAGUUUAAAGUUGUGGUUUAACUAUGGAGAGCCAACCGGGGCACAGAUCCCAAACAUUACAUAUUCAGUGUAUUAUUAACUCAUCUGAAACUCAAAUUGUUCAUAAUUAUCUGGGAAUGAUAACUGAAUUAUUUUUAAGAAUUUUUUCUUCAUUAUGAAAACAACAGAAAACAAAAUAGUAAACAAAAGAAAUAUAGACAGAAUUUUUGGCUCCCCAUAAUUUUAGCACAGAGUUAAACUGUGGUCUAAGUUAAACCUGACUUCGGAACACAGGCCCAAGAGUUCAAUUCUGAAGAAAAAAAACAGCAAUCAUCAUGAAUUAUUGAUCUUGGGUACACUAUUUUCAUCAGAAUUCCACCUAGUAUUCAUGCUCUUUAAUAUUUUCAAAUACUUAUGUUUAUGUCUUCCCAUGGACCUAUAAGUCCAUGAUCUUCCUAAGGAACUACUGCUGCAAGAGUUAUUAAAAAAUGCUGCUAUUUGAUAAAUUUGAAUUCAGAGAAAUCAAGCAACUGCUUGCACAACUUGAAUAAUAAAUUGGAUUUUGAAAAUCAGAAAAUGGUAAAGAUUGCAUUUAUACUUUUAAAUGAUUGUUAGAAAUUAACAGGGGUGCUGAUAAUAAUAUGAAAUGAGAUUACAUUAACAUGGCUCCUCCACCCUCUCACACUCACUUCAAAAGUCCACUCUCCUUUACCUUAUGUAUUUUCUUAGAUAUCUAAAAUUUGACAUUUUUUUUAGGUAGAGGAAACCACACUGAUGAAAAUUUUCAGUAAUGAUAACCAAGAACAUGAAACUGGUAUCGUGUGAAAGUGCAACCUGUUAGCGUUAAAAAAACAUCUUGAUUGGAUCUCUAUGAUCUAAGAUUUUUAUAUAUGCAUUUUUUUUGCAAUGGUGUAAAUGAAUAGUCCUAGAUCUUUGUACAAUUUCUCAUAAAAUUAGCAAAGUAUGAUGGUCACUCAUAUCACUUUUUUUUCCAUUUCAAGUGAAUAAAUAUGUUGUCUUAAGAAAAAAAAUCCAGUACAAUCAAUAAAUAUAUUUCUUACUUGAAUGAAACAAUACUCAAUAUCCAACUCUAGGUAAUAACAUGGCAAGUCAUAAGUUCAGAUUUUUUCUGUAAAAAAAAAUGAAUUUAUUCAUGUAUCAUUCAAAACAAACAAAAUAUCUGCAAAUUGUAUAUGGAUACAUUCUUUUGAAAUAACAUACAAAUAUAACAAUUUACGAUUUUACAUACAAAUGAAGAAAAUAUAUCUAGUUAGUACACAAUCGGGUCACAUACACAUACAAUUCACAAAAAUAAACUUAUGAAGUACUCAAAAUCUGUAUAUGAUAUCAGACCAAAUUGUCUACGUGUUGGCAGAAUGCUGCAUUGACAUAAACCUAAAAUUAUUAGUAUAUUGCAUCCAAGAAAAAGAAAGUUUGAGACAGACAUCAUAAUCAUCAAAUAUAUUAAGUUUUCAAAUUUGAAAGUUUAGGAAGUUGAAAAAAAAAAUUUAUUUGAGUCCACUUGCCCAAGCGUAAAAAAAUUGAAACUUGGGGGUUUUUUUAUUGAGACACAUUUGCAUAUAUUCUGUAUGAGUUACCAAAGGGAUUACUACAUCAAAUAAGUAUCUAAAAUCCUCUCAGAUGAACAAAACCACAAUUUUUAUCCUCAUUUGAAUAUCAUUCAAAUGCAAGUUAACAUAAAACAAUUUUACCAAUAGAGAUUCUUCUUAAAGAGCAAGGGGAGGGUAUUUUUUGUUAUGCCAACCUUGUAUUUGAUCAAUAUUUACAUUUACAUUUAGUUGUGAUUAGGGGGAUAAAUAGAGUUAUGACCCAAACUAAGCUUCAAAAUACUGAAUUACUCAUCGACUCAUCAAUAUCUUCAUAGACUGGCAAAGACAACUAUUGAUAUUGAAACAAGUGAAAGCAAUAUUCCACUAAGUAUUGCAUCUGACCCCCGUUUCUGUAGAAGUUCCCUAAAAUGAAUUUUUCUGAUUCCUAAUUCAAACAAAAGGCCAUAAUGCUUUCAUAUUAUGGCUUGAGCAUUUUGAGGAGCGAAGUAAGAAUGAAGAAAAAAUAGGGGUCAGACAAACAAAAUUGUUAGUAUUCUAUGGAAGUGCCCAAAGAAUUAAACAUAUUGUAGAUAACUACAACAACAUAACUAUGCAUAGCUAAAGCAAACAAAGAUAGGUUAGGCAUAUACUAUUGCACUGAUAAUGUACUUGCUAUAUCAAAGCAAAAUGCAUAAAAAUGAAAAAAAAUAAUCACAUUACAAUUCUCUGCUUAUAUUUCUACAGUAUAGUUCUAAUCACUAGUAAGGGUGUUUUGUCCGCUUUCAAAAUAUCUGAUGAAGGUAAUUCUGUGUAUAACAUUUAUACAGUGAAAUGGAUGGACUACAGAAGUAGCAAAUUGCUGCAGCAAUUUAACCUCAGAUCUCAAAAAGCUCAAAAUGCUUAGGAUCAUGCUAAACCAUGACUACCACAUUAAACAAUCAUUCCAACGGGAUUAAAUUUCCUUUAACAUGACAUAGUGGUUUAUUUUAUUAAAAUUGAGAGAGAAAGAGAGAGAGGACGGAUUUGAACAGGAAAUCACUUGAGUCUAUUCUAGCUUUUUGGUGAAUCCCCCAGAAGUGCAAGUCACUAUUCCAAUUUCAGGACUAGAUUAUGUUAAUGUGUAUGGUGAGAAUUGUAACAUGAAAUUGUGUUGUACUCAGUAAAUUUUCCAUAUAACAUUGAAAUUAUAUAGAAUAUCCAGGUUUGUUAUUUCAUUUUGAUUUAUAAAACCACUUCUCAAGCAUGGCUGCAAAUUUUGGCAUGUAAUCUUUGUCUGAUAACCAAUCAUAAAAUUUGUAAUAGAGCUGGUUAUUUUAUUCAAAAUAAAUGUAUGGACUGUGAUGAGAGGCAUGGUUGUUUCUAAAUGCCCUUGGACAUGAUCAGGCCAAUAUGCUACCCUUGAGCAAAAAGAAACAAACAUGUUUAUGUGCAAGUUGUCUAAAAUCAUCAAUCAAAUUGCGCUGGUAACCGCCAAUCAUCACAAAGCAAAUUUUUGCAUGUAGACAAAUGAUGAUUUGGUAAUUUUUCUUGUUAACAAUAAUUGUUGUCCUUGGUAACAACCCCCAGUUUGUUGCUUUGCGUAAUGGUUACAUACACAACUCCACUUGGGACCAAUAAGAAGACUGGAUGAUUAGAGUUUAUUUAAGACAGGUACAUAGUUCACAUUAUUGGCACCUUACGAAAGCUUCAGAUGGGCUAUAAUUGAUAAGCCCGAUAGGAACAAAAAAGUAAUUUUCCAAUACUUUGAGAUGCUGUAAAAAGUCCCUUGCUGAUGGGAGUGGCAAGUUAUUUCAUUUUUAACCUUGCUGAUGAAAUACAACAAAGAAUGAAGAACUAGAACACAGUAAACAUACAAAAUAUUUACCAAUAAAAUCAUACUUUAAUACAGGUGUGUAUGAGCCUGAGGGUGUAAAAUACAGACGAGAUGAGACUUGAUAAUUAGAACUCUGGGUCGCCACUUCAAUUGUUAGCAGUUCUUCCAGCAGGCCUUGUACAACAUAAUGCCAUUUGUACCCCUCUCCAUUAUAACACACCUAGCGCCUAGCAGGAAGGUCCCUUUCUUAAAAAUCUUUGGUAUAUAUCUUGGCCAUAGAUUGAACCCACAACCUUCCUUUCACAACCACUGGGCUGCAUACCUGGGGCCCGUAACACAAAGGUUAUUCAUUUAAAUUCAAAUCUACACCACUGCAUUACCAGUAGUUGAACCCCGGAGUUGAACUGACCUAAAUUCAAACCAAGCAAACAAUGCCCAGCUUCUUGUUUUGAGGAGGCGCAAUAGCUCAGUCGGGAGAGCAGGGGUUUCGGUUUCCAGUAACCUGGGCUCGAUUACCAUUUGGUGCGCUAGUGCCCUUUGGUAAGGCAUUUAUCCUCAUUACCAGGUGUUUCGUAGAGGACCUUAAGCCGUCAGUCCUAUGAAUACUUGCUUACAACCAUUCAUGCUUUC
rnacentral:lncRNA from 1 species